CGUGCAGGCGGGUCGACAAGUCUGAUGUGAAAGCCCCGGGCUCAACCUGGGAAGUGCAUUGGAAACUGUCGGUCUUGAGUUCUGGAGAGGAAGGGGGAAUUCCCGGUGUAGAGGUGAAAUUCGUAGAGAUCGGGAGGAAUACCAGUGGCGAAGGCGCCCUUCUGGACGGCAACUGACGCUGAGACGCGAAAGCGUGGGGAGCAAACAGGAUUAGAUACCCUGGUAGUCCACGCUGUAAACGAUGAGCACUAGGUGUAGCGGGUACUCAUUCCUGCUGUGCCGCAGCUAACGCGUUAAGUGCUCCGCCUGGGGAUUACGGUCGCAAGACUAAA
rnacentral:rRNA from 1 species